UUCUCUUCAUAUGGCCAGCCAUAGCAAGAACAAAGGAAGAAAAGAAGAACAAAAACCUUAGGUGGAAAAAUUCAAGGGAAAAGUGUGAAAAUUCAAGUAAUCAAGCAAUCAAAGGUAAAAUUUCUUGAUUUUGACUUGUGAUCUACCUUUCCCAUGCAUUAUUUUGCAUUUUUCAUGGUUGAAUCACAAUAUAUCAUGAAGGAUUCAUGGCUGACCGAAUUUAGAGAGAGAAGAUUUGAUGAUUUAUUUGGUUAGAUUUUGAGAUAUUUUAGUGUUUAUAGUUGAUUUAUCAUGUUUGGAAGGAAAACAAGAAAAAUCACAUUUUCUUCAUGGAUUCUUCAUUGGUCGAAUUUUCCAUGUAAAGUGUGGAUGAUGAUUUUGAUUUUAUUUCAAGUGAAUUGGUUAGGAAAUGAUGAAUUAUGAUGAGAAAAUCAAGUAGGAAAAAUCAUAGUAUUGAUGCACCCACCAUGGCCAAAUUUUCCAAGAGAAAAUGUGAAGAUGAUUUUGCUAGAUUUAUGCUAUUUGACUUGUGUUUGAUGAUUUGGAGUAUUGGGAGAAAAAGGGAAUUACUUGGAGUUAAAUUGGACAUAUUGGCCAAUUAAUCGAGUGAUAGAUCAAAUUAGGCCAAUACCGUUUUAUUUAGGUACACAAUUGAAUUUUUGUAGAACAUCAUGUUUAGACGAUAAUCCGAACAAUUUGCAUUCCAUUUCAUGCAUUAGUAAAGAGCCUGAAAUAGAUUUAUAAUGGUAUGACACAGUAUAUUGAAUUAUGUGUCGUGUAUUGUAUAUUGGUGGUGAGCCCUCUAACAAGGGUAAAUAUGUUGUAUCAGAGGAUUGAGAAUAGGAGUAUUUCAAACUCCUGAUACUGUAAGUAACCUUACUAUCGUCUUAAUUAUCUAAAGUGAUUUUUAUCCGAUUUUGUGAUUUUAUGGAAAAUGAGUUUAAAUGGCAAAUCUUUAUGUUUUGUAACUAAAAUGUGAUUUAAAUGAAAUGAUUUUAUAAAAUUGUCUUGAAAUUGAAUGAUGGUUUUGGAAAAUGGAGUAAUUGGAGACUAAUUGUUGUGUUAUAAAUCAUGGUUUGAAUUGUAUGGCUUAUGAUAAUAUUGGCAUGAAUGGUUGAUUUGGUAAAUGUGUUGAAAAUGUAUGAACUGUUAAUUUACCUUAAGAGGCUGUAAAAUAAAAUGAUUGUCAUGUCAUGCUAUCGUAAAUUUUAUUAAAUUGGUAGGUUAUAAAUUAGUCACUGUAGUGGACGGGUUCCGUGGACCAGCCUAUUAGAGGGGCACGGUAAUCCUGUUAUAUUCAUACCUCAGUAUGAGAGGCGCGAUUGGAUAACUCAUGAGGUUAACACUUUAGAGUUCACUUCACGCCAAACCACCACGUGAGGGUGAACUCAGCCAACGCUAAGGAACGGCUAUGUUUUCAAAAUAAAAACAUGAUUUAUGCGUACAUAACUUUUUAACAGCCUUGGCGGACUUGGUUGGGAUAGCCCUCGAUCAAGGUAUCCCUAAUAACUGAGUAUGAAAAUGAUUUUGGCACAAGCCAAAGUUUUAAGAAAUUAAUAAGCCAUGUUAAUUACUCGAUUUAUAUGAAUUGUUUUAUUUGGUUGAAAUGAGUUGAAAGGUGAUGAAUUACAGUAUAUUAAACUAUUUUAUCUGUCUCCAUUUACUCAGUUUUAGAUAUUUUAUAUGGUAUUUGUUUACUCACUGGGAUUAUAUAAUCUCACCACCCUCCUUUCCACCCAUUUCAGACUCAGGAUAGUCGGUAGAUAGCUCAUUUCGUUGAGGGCUACAGUUGGAUUUGCAUCCUCCAAACUGUAAGUUCACGGUCUUUCUUACUUUUAGUUAUUCGGGGGUCCACUGGUUAUUGUAAAUUAAAUUAAAUACUCUGGCUUAUUGUAUUACAGUAUGUAUGAAUUUAUUUUACUUUUAUGUUGCAAAAAAUUAUUCACGUAUAACUCUAAAAAUAUUAUUUUAUAAAAAAAUAGAAUAUUUUAUUGAAUAUUUCUUUUAUUUUUUUUAUUAUAUCCAAAUAAUCAUAAUUUCAUUUUAAAUGAAGGUUCUAGAUGUUUAAACUUAUUUUUUGAUUAUGAAUUAUGUGUUUUGUACUCGCAUACUACAUUUUUAGCAGAUUUCGAGAUUUUUGAAAAAAAAUGAUCAAAAUGCCCCUGUGAGAAAAAAAUUAUUUUUCUAUUGUUUUGAUUUGGAAAUAGUUUAUAAUCUCUCAAAACAUAAUUUUAGUGACUAAUAUUCACAGGGGAAGCGAGAAAAACUAAUGUCAAGCCUUGCGAGGUUUCGAUUAAUAUUUUGGGUAAUGAAUGUCUAUUAGGACGUCGUAGCGGUUGUCACGGGCUCGAUGGGAGUUUCGGGUCCUGACAUUGUUCUUAGUCUGCCUUGGUUUUUAUUGCUACAAUUUACUUGAAGUAAAUUAAUUUCAUUGCUGAAAACUUAUUUCAAGAAAACCAACUCCUUUGUUUUCAAAUUAAGUGGUGAAACUUGUUUCAAAGAAAUUUAAUUUUUACUAAGUUUACAAAGAUUUUCAAAAGCC
rnacentral:lncRNA from 1 species